ACUGAGUGCUCUGUGACCUCUCGAAAUGUUGCAAUUAUUUACCGAGUAAAUUAUUCUUCUCACAGUUAAACUAGAUCGACAACUGGGUUUAAUUGUUGACUGUAGUAGUAUACUACGAUCCCCUAAGUAUCGCUGACAGAGGGAUCGUGAGGACGAGACGAGUUUGUGACAUGCGCAGAGGCAUUUAAAUAAUCGUUCUUCCCACGUUCUGUACGUGAAUUGAACUGUUAGAAUAUAUUCAGUAUCCCCUGUCAGUCCAGUUUGAGUAACAUUCUAGAACCAGUUGCACGAGUGAUUUGUAAGCAAUCUCCUUUGUGCACCGAUAGCACUUCCCCGGUCUUCUGAAGUCUACCACGACUGAGCCUGUAUGAUCACUGAGUUUCGUAUCCCUACAAAGUUAUACACCACGUAUUUGUACGAGUUGGCCAAUUCAGACAGUGACUCAUUGAUAUUAGAGUUUUUGAAUUGCCCAAUUUUACACAUUUAGAUCGACCUGCCAAUCUUUGCACCACUUUGAAAUCUUAUCGAGAUCUUGCUUAAUAUUUAUGCAGCUUGUUUCAGACUGUACUUCAUUAUAGAUACGUGCAUCAUUUUCAAAAUGUCCGAGGUUACUAUUUAUUUUGUCUGCAAAGUCAUUAAUACGCGACAUGGACAGCGAGGGUUCCUGGGACUCACCUGAAGUUACUUUAUCUGACAUUGACUCUCCGCACGAGACAGAUGCAUCGUCGUACAGUAAUAAGCGGAUCUCUCUUGUAGACUGGCUCUCAUUUCCACAGUAUCGUAUCGAAGAAUUGAAGGCUCCCUCUGUUAUGUGUAUGACUGAACCUAUUUUGUUGUUCCAUUUCUUACCUGCACAGACUGUUUCAGCCAGCUGUUUGUACAGAUUUGUCUUAGGCCCUUUUUGGCCGGCAGCUCUUUGAGGUGACUACAUUGUCUACAAAAAAUCUGAAAGUGGAGUUCUAGCCCCAGUCAGCCGAAGAAGGUGGAACAGGGGAAAAAUUUGUGUAGUCGCAAAUUGUUGCAUGUGGUAGGAGGGAAUGCCACAAACAUCU